UUGGUUCUAAAUCUCAACCAUUUGCUUUGAAGGUAAAGUAUCAAAGUAUUUGUUUGGGGUUGGAUCCAGGU
rnacentral:miRNA from 1 species